UACGUAGGGCGCUAGCGUUGUUCGGAAUCACUGGGCGUAAAGCGCACGUAGGCGGCUUUGUCAGUCCGGGGUGAAAUCCCGGAGCUCAACUUCGGAACUGCCUCUGAUACAGCCCGUCUUGAGUCCGGAAGAGGUGGGUGGAAUUCCUAGUGUAGAGGUGAAAUUCGUAGAUAUUAGGAAGAACACCGGUGGCGAAGGCGGCCCACUGGGCCGGUACUGACGCUGAGGUGCGAAAGCGUGGGGAGCAAACAGG
rnacentral:rRNA from 1 species